CAGCCGCCGCGGUAACACGGAGGGUGCAAGCGUUAUCCGGAUUUAUUGGGUUUAAAGGGUCCGUAGGCGGAUCUGUAAGUCAGUGGUGAAAUCUCACAGCUUAACUGUGAAACUGCCAUUGAUACUGCAGGUCUUGAGUAAAUUUGAAGUGGCUGGAAUAAGUAGUGUAGCGGUGAAAUGCAUAGAUAUUACUUAGAACACCAAUUGCGAAGGCAGGUCACUAAGAUUUAACUGACGCUGAUGGACGAAAGCGUGGGGAGCGAACAGGAUUAGAUACCCCCGUAGUCCCUGUCUCUUAUAA
rnacentral:rRNA from 1 species